rnacentral:lncRNA from 1 species
CCUUCCGACAAAGGAAAUGACAGGUCAAAUUGUUUCACUGGUAAAUUUCACCCAGCAGUCAACAAAUAGAGAAUCCUGACUCUGUACAACUUUUUCCAGGAAACCGAAGACCAGAGAACAUUUCCUAACACAUUCUACGAGGCUUAUCCUGAUACCAAAACCAAACAAAGAUAUCACAAGAGAACUACAGGCCAAUACCCCUCAUGAACAUAGAGGCAAACAUUUAGCAAACUGGAUACAGUAAUAUGUACAAUAAUAAUACAUGAUGACAACGUGGAGUUUAUCCCAGUAACGCAAGAUCAACUGAAUAUUUGAAAGAUCAGUGCAUUUCACCACAUUCACAAGCUAAAAAAGAAAAGCCAUAUGAUCAUCUCCAUAGACACAGAAAAAAAUCUGAUAUCCGUUAUGCAUUUAUAAUAAAAACUCAAGCCAAAUGAGAGCACAAGGGAAUGUUCCCAGUCUGAUAAAGGGGCGUCUCCGAAGCAGAUGCAGCAGGCAUCUUGCUUCCUAGCAGAAGAUUGCCCGCUUUCCCCCAAGAGAAGGAACCAGCAGCAGUGCCUACUCAAAGCGUCUCUAUUCUAGUUGGUGCAAUGAGGCACGGAAAGGAAAACAAAACAAAACAAAACAUAGAUUGCAGAGGAAGAAGUAAGACAGGGUCAUGGCCAUCCCUGUAGAAAAUCUAACAGAAUCUUCUAGAAAGCUACUAGAACUAAUGAGUGACUUAAGCAAAAUAGUAGGCUAUAAGAUCAGUAUACAAAAUCAGUAGUCAGUAAUAAAGGGAUAAUUAACCCCAUUUAAAAAAUGAUAGACAUGUCUCCAAAGAAGAGAUACAAAUGGCAAAUAGCACAGGAAAAGGUGUGGCAUGUCACUACUCAUUAGGGAAGCACAAAACACACUCACAGUGAGGCAUCAUUCCACACUGUCUCUGGAACAGCGUCAGUGAGGCCGAUAAUCCGUGUUAGUGAGGACGUGGAUAAGUUCGAACACUCCUAUGUUGUUGGCGGGAACACAACAUGAUUUAAUCGCCUUGGAGAACAGUUUGGCAGUUCCUCAAAAUGUUAAACAUAGAUGUAUCCUAUGAUUUAGCAAUUCUACUCCACCCAAGAAAAAUGAAAACGUGUCCACACAAAAACAUGUGCACAAAUGUCCACCAUGGCAUUGUUCUAAUAGCCACAUGGAGGGAGCAGCCCAUGUGUCCCAGCACCAAUAAAUGGUUUCACAAAACGCAGACUAGCCACACAAUGGGGUAUUUCUCAGCUAUAAAAAGAAAUGAAGUUCUGGUCACCAUGACGUGCAUGAACCUUGAAACCUUGCGCUAAGUGAAAGAGGCCAGACACAGAAGGAUGAACAUAGCAGAACCCGAUUUGUAUUCAGCAGAGGCAAAGCCGCAGAGAGGGAGGAGAGAUCAGUGGUGGCCAAGGCCAGCGGAGAAGCUCAGCGGGAGGAGUAGGGAGUGACUGCUGAUGGGUAUGGCUUCUUUGAGGUGAUAAAAAUGUUCUAGAAUUACAUUGUGAUGGUGGUUAGAGCAUGGUGACGGCUGGACAACUCUGCGAAUAUAUGAAAAACCACCGAAUUGUGUACUUGAAGUGGGUGAAGUGUGUGAUAUGAGUUUUAUCUUCAUGAGGCCACUAAAAAUCAAUUGCAUUUCUGUAUUACAGCAGAAAUUGAACUCAAAUGCCAUUUAAAAUUACAGAGAGAACAUGAAUCCUUACGAAUAAAUCUCACAAAAGAUGUACGAGAUAUGCUAAGAGCACGGCUGGGAGAAAGUCAAGGUGAAUGAAAUAAAUGGAGGUGCGCACCACGUUCACGGGUCAAACUCUUGAUAUUGACGGGAUGCCACGUCUUCCCAAAUGGGUUAAUGAAUUCAGUACCAUUGCAAUCAGAAUCCCAGAAGCGCUUCUUUUCUCUUAAGAGAAAUUCCCAUGUUGAUUAUAAAAAAUAUAAGGACAUGCAGAGGACCUAGAAUAACCAAAAGAAUCUUGAAAAAGAGAAAACAGUUGGAGGACCAAAGAUCUGUGAUUUCAAGACUCGCCGUGAGGCUACAGUCAUGGAGACAGAAGGGGAUUGGUGUCAAGAGAGACAAACGGGUCAGCAGAACAAAAUAUACAGUAUGAGGAGGGGAUUUUAAACGACGCAACCGCUUUGAAAAACAGUUUGGUGGGUUCUUAAACGGUGAGGUCCACGCUUUCCAUAUGACCAAUUCUACACCUAGGUAUUUAGCAAGAGAAAUGAAAGCAUUUGCCCACGAACGCUCACAGCAGCUAUGGGCGAAGUCUCCCGGGUUUGCUUCUGGAUAGGAUGAAGGAACUUAGCAAGUCCUCUCUGUCUUUCUCUCUGUUUCUCUCUUUCUCUCUGUCUGCCUCUCUCGACAAGCCUAGCUUUCCAGCUGACUGUCUUGUUGCAAGAUCCUAUUUUGAAUAUUAAAAAAUGAAUGUCAGCUCUCUUAUGAUGAUUAAUUUUAUGUGUCAAUUUGGAAAGUGUAUUUAGAGGACAUUAACUUCAUUUAUUUAUUUUUUUUGAGACGGAGUCUGGCUCUGUUCCCCAGGCUGGAGUGCAGUGGUGUGAUCUCGGCUCACUGCAGCCUCCACCUCUACCUUCUGGGUUCAACCGAUUCUCCUGCCUCAGCCUCCCGAGUAGCUGGUAUCACAGGUGUGUGCCACCAUGCCCGGCUAAUUUUUUGUAUUUUUAGUAGAGACGGGAUUUCCCCAUGUUGGCCAGGCUGGUCUCAAACUCCUGACCUCAGGUGACCCGCCUGCCUCGGCCUCCCAAAGUGUUGGGAUUACAGGCAUGAGCCACUGCGCCCAGCCUGAGGUUAACUUUUAAAUGGAUGAACUUUGGGUGAAGCAUGUUGCCUUCUGUAAUGUGGGUGGCCUCUUCCGAUCAGUUAAAGUCUUGAAUACAGCAGAAAGCCAGCCUUCCUGAGCAAGAGAGAUUCUCCAGCGGACGGCCUUGGGACUUCAUCCGCUCCACGGACUCUGCUGGGUCUGCAGCUGGCCAACCCACACUGCCUGCACUGCCCACACUGCCCACACUACCCACACUACCUACACUAUCCACACUACCCACACCACCCACUCUAUCCACACUACCCACACUACCCACACUGCCCACAUUACCCACACUGCCCACACUAUCCACACUACCCACACUAUCCACACUACCCACACUGCCCGCACUGCCCACGUUACCCACACUGCCCACACUAUCCACGCUACCCACAGUACCCACACCACCCACACUAUCCACACUACCCACACUACCCACACUAUCCACACUACCCACACUACCCACACUGCCCAUGUUACCCACACUACCCACACCAUCCACACUGCCCACACCACCCACACUACCCACACUGCCCACACUAUCCACACUACCCACACUGCCCACACUACCCACACUAUCCACACUACCCACACUACCCACACUAUCCACACUACCCACACUACCCACACUACCCACACUAUCCACACUAUCCACACUACCCACACUGCCCACACUACCCACACUGCCCACACUACCCACACUAUCCACAUUACCCACACUACCCACACUGCCCACACUACCCACACUGCCCACACUACCCACACUGCCCACACUACCCACACUGCCCACACUGCAGAUGCUGGACUUGCAGCCUCCAUUACCCCAUGAGUCCCCGCCUUAUAAUAAAUCUCCUUCUCACUUUAUGCACCCCCCUACCCCCAGUUCUGUUUCUCUGGAGACCCCGACUCAGCUACUGUGAUCCCAGGGAAAGGGAGCCUCAGAGAAAGGAACCCUGUGUCCACCGGGCUUUCUCUCCAGGGAUUUGCUGACACCUCCACUGUGCAUGGCUGGGGUGAGAAGCCAGGCAGAAAACAGCUGCUUCGAGGCCAGAAUUACAGGUAAAGAGUUCAGCAUCCUCCCCUUUGUGGGGGAACUGUGGAGCACGAGGCCUUCCAACGAGAGGCCCUGGCGUCAGCACAGACCACGAGAGGGCUGGGCUCAGGAUCAGCGCCACUGAAGGACCCUGCCUGCAUGGAGGCGCGUGAUCCAAUGUUCUUUCCUUGCUGGCAGCAGAAAAUGUUACUGGCUCCGAAGGAAGAUGACAACAUCCUGCCUCUUUGCUGAAGUACGUGCACAGCAUCCAAUGCACCCAGGACCUCUCAGGGCGCCAGACCCUGGCUCUGUGCUUCGGUUGCGUGACUCGGGCAAGCUUCUCAUUUCUCCCGCCUUAGUCUCCUCUCACCUCACAGGGCUGUCAUGAGGCAUGCUGGGCACAUGCAGCUCACAGAGAAGGGCUGGCUUCCUCCUUGCACCCUCGCUUCCCUCCUUCCUCUCUCCAGCAGGCAGGCUGAUUGUGGAGAUGUCUCCUGGGCAGCAUGCGUCAGCAGGGAUUUCAUGGGGACGCAGGGCAGGUGUCUUUGGUGCCAGUGAGAGGCUCAAGCCCUGCAGGCUCCUGCCCAUGUGAGGCCAUCACCCCACCCCCGAGGCAUAAGAAGAGCCCCACGCCAGCUCCCUUCCUGAAGCCACCGUGCACCCCGUGAAAGCCCAGCUAGGUAAGUACCAGACCCUUUCAUCUCGUCCCGGUGUGUGGGGGCGUCUUCAGGGUUGACGGAGGAACCACAUUUGGGUGGGGUCCCUCCUCUUUUUCCAGAGUGACCACAGCACUCCACUAUUUCUUCUUUUCUUUCUUAUUUAUUUAUUUAUUUAUUUAUUUUUUUGAGAUGGAGUCUCAGUCUGUUGCCCAGGCUGGAGUUCAGUGGUGCUAUCUCUACUCACUGCAGCCUCUGCCUCCUGGGCUCAAGUGAUCCUCCCACGUCAGCCUCCCGAGUAGCUGGGACUACAGGCACACGCCACCACACCCGGCUAAUUUCUGUGUUUUCAGUAGAGAUGGGGUUUCACCAUGUUGCCCAGGCUGGUCUCGAACUCCUGACCUCAAGUGAUCCAUCCGCCUCGGCCUCCCAAAGUGCUGGGAUUACAGGCGUGAGCCGCCGCGCCCGGCCAGCACUCUCCAAUUUCUGAUCCAACUGCAUUGUCAUACAGAAAUCACACCUUGAUCGUGUUUACAGACUCAUUUCUACGCAUAGAUACAUGUCUCUGAUUCCAUGCACUGCAACGGUCAUUGCAUUUAAAAAAGAGGCAAACGCCAAGUCUCCCAGCGCCUUGGAAGACUCAGCCUCUGGGGGCUCCAUGGUUUCUGCUUGAAAGGCCGAUGGCUGCUUUGCAGAGAACCAGUCCUGAGACUCAUACCUUUCUAUUCCGAUGAGAGAACAUUUCUGCACAAGAACCUAGGUCAGGGUUCAUGUGUCUGUCCCUUGCGUUCUGCAAAGGACCGGAUCAUAAAUGGUGCAGCUCUGGGGGCCACCCGGGCCCUAUGGAAGGAACUUGUCCCUGCCGUCGUGGGGGAUGCAGCUGCACAUGGCCUGUGGACGUGCUCCAGGAAGGCGCCUGCGGGGGUGGCUGUGAACUCCCGCUGUCCCCAGCACAUUCCCUGUUGACACAUCCUGGCUGGGAGAUGUCUCCACAAUCAGCCUGCGUGCUCCGAAGUGAGGGGGAGAGGGGAAGGAGGGAGGUGAGGGGGCAAGGAGGAAGCCAUCACUUCUCUAUGAGCUGCGUGUGCCCAGCAGGCCUUGUGACAGCGCUGUGAGGUCGUGCACGUGAGAAGAGACUGAGGCGGGAGAAAUGAGAAAUAAAAACUGAACAUGAGUUCAAUUCAUCUUGCGUUUCCUUCAGGACAAAAUGUGAAUUUCAUGUCAGUAGUUUGUGCAACCAAGUCCUCUUUGUCCUGUGACUUUUAUUCAGGCACUGAACAGUGUAAACUGAUUCACACCUUCUGGGCUGCACCACCACAGGGGCCAGCAGGCCUGGGUCCCCCCACCCACCUGGAGUGAGGGGUGCAGUUAGGCCGGCCGGGCAUGGUCCCUGCAAUCAAGUCUCUAGAGCGGGGGUGACGGCCACGGGGCCUGAAAAGCGGUUCCAUAGUGUCUGCAGCUUCUGAGCACUGAGGGAUGAGCCCACACACGCAUCACAAAACAGCCACAGUGACCUGACCCACACUGUCCAGACGAUGGGGCCACAUAGGAUUCCCACAGUGGGAGAUGCUGACCUGGACAAGAGAGGGCAAGGGACAGAAGCUCCCAAGACCCAAGGUAGGGCCCUGCGGGCAAAAUGGCCAAGAGCCGCCUUGCACCGCAAAUGGGCCCUGAGGUCCAGGGCUGCAGGAGCAGGGUGGGGAGCCCGGCCAGAUGGAGGGGCAGACACCGGCACCCGCUGCCUACGUCACCGCCCUCAGUGCCGCCCACAAGCGGGUGCCCCACUGGGUCCCGCCACCCCAAAUCCCAGUACCAGAGCCGGGCCCGGCUCUGCCACCCCUGCCACCCUGUGUGGCACCCAGGCCCUGCUGGCACAAGGCCACGGCUAAUCUGCUCUCAGAGGAAGCUGAGGAGGCAGCCCUGCCCUCGGUGUUUCCCAAGCCCCCUUAUCCCAGCAGAUUCUUCUCGGGGAAGAUAAGCUCCCAGCUUAGCCAGGGCGGGUGGGAAGUCAGAGCUGCUUCCUUAAUUGGCAUUUUCCAGUUGAGAGCACAUUCUCUACCUUUUUCACUUGGAUCAGCUAAUUGCCAAAUGUUUUCAUUUUUGAGAAGAAGUAAAAUUGCAGAGAUUUGGGAUUUAGGGAAGGAAUGCAAGGAUCAAUUUUGCCUAAUUACGAAAUGUCUCGGCGGUCACUGUGACGGGUCCCAGAGUCGGCCGUGUGGACCCCGGGGCCUCCCGGGCGGUGGGGGGCCGGGGGCUCUGAUGCAGAUGUUUACCUGAUGUCGUGGGCCUGAAUCUGGUUUACAUUGGAAAUCAGACUGUUUACAGGCCAGCACAUCUGCCUCUUCCUCUGGCUCUCCUUCAUUCUGCUGUAAUGUUCUGCAGGUCUCGCUGGGGUCUCUGUGGGAAUAUCUGUGACACGGAGUGAGCCAGGCCAGCCCGGGGCGGCCCCAUCCGGGGACAGCAGCUCACGGCCUGGCCCCGCGUGCGCAGCCGGGGCCUGGGUUGGCGGUGGAGAUGGGGAGGGUCUGGGGCCCCUGGGUGGGUGGUGGGGGUACCGUCAGCCCGGCUGCAGGGUUCCAGCGGAGGACAGGGAGCCUUCUCCAUCCCUGAAAACCAUCGCGGGGACAGUGGACUCAUCAGGAUGCCGGGACCCUCUAGUGUGUUCUGGAAGCAGAGGCUGGGUGUGGGCACGGGAACCUGUGAUUGUCCCCAGACACCGAGAGGUCCACAGGACCCCCAGUGCCCAGACCCCGGCUGCAGAUCGGGGGGUCCAGUCAUGUGUCGGGGAAGGAGGAGAGGAGCAGGGGCCACAGACAGGGGGUCCAGGAGGGCAGGGGGUCCUGGAGGGCAGGGGGUCUAGGAGGGCAGAGGGUCCAGGAGGACAGGGGGUCCAGGAGGGCAGGGGGUCCAGGAGGGCAGAGCCACAGCAGGCUGGGUGCUGCUGCUACAGGGGGCUUCACCCCAGCAGCCCCCUGCACUGCCCCUCUGACAGCCUCCACCUUUGACCCCCCAGAACAACGGGCUGCUGUGGCGGCUCUGGAGGCUGCGGCCCCAGUCAUGGGGCCUGCGGCUGCCAUGGGCUGAGACCCUGCUGCUCUUCGUGGAGACACUGAUGUCCUUACCAGAUCUCCCGGGCCCGCCCUCAGCCUCCAGGCUGACCAGGCUUCCUGGGCCUCCUAGGACACAGCCCUGGGUCUCCUCCUCUAGGAUACUGGAUGGGAAUCUGCGGCUUCCAACAUCCACCUGCCGGCCUUUCCCUCUGCCCUGUCCCCUUGCUGCCAUGGCCGCCUUUGUCCUCCCUGGAGAUUCAGAGAGCAGCCCCGUUCUCAGUUACCUGGCCUUCUGGGUCCUUGGGAGGUUCUGACCUCUUCCCAGCAGGGGCCCUGGGGGCUGCGUCCUGCCUGGUCCAGGCCUUCUCACCCUCACCUCCCUCUGGGCUCAGGGAGCUGGGGCCACACAGCCCAAAGAGGCUGGUCUGCCCGGGACAGGCCACCCUCCUCCUACCAGUGCCCUCCCUCCUCCGGCAGCCACGCUACCUGCCCUUCCUCCCCACCUGCAAAGCCUCCUGCCAAGCCUGACACCUGGGGAUUCUGUCUCCCACACUCCAGGGGCCUCCUCCACAUGUCAGUGACCUCUGACCGCUGUUUCAGACCCACAGCUCUUGGGUGCACUCAGCCUUGGGUCCCGAUGGCACCAGAGUGUUCCACGCCUGGGGCAGCACACUCACUGCAGAUCUGGCCUGAGACUCAGCAGCCGGGCACCCCAUGAGAUCUACUUUCUGAAUGGCGUCGUCACCUGACUGGGCAUACAGGCCACGGACCCCAUGGUCAUUUGGGCACUGACCCCUCUCACACCCCCCAAAUCCCACCUGAGAGCAGCCCAUCAGGCAGGCCCCAUAUAUUGGAUGCCUCUAAGUAUCAGCCUUGAUGUCCCUCUAAUUCCAGCCCUGGUGUCUUCUCCCUGGGACACCCUGCUGCUCCCUCUAGCUGUGCCCUCCACGGUGACUCCAGACAUGCGGAUUCAGCCUCUUCGCUCCAGGACCAAACUCCUCAGCAGCUCCCACUACUCCCAGCAUGCCAUCCAGCUCCUCAGCCCAGCAGCAAAGACAGGCACAGAAUGGCUCCCGAACCCAUCGCUCCGGUCUGGAGAAGGAGCCCUCCACCCUCCACGCUCCAUUCGCUGUCCCCUUGCGGGCCCCUGUGAGGAACCCCGGCCAGAGGCACCAAUGGCCGCCACUGACUUUCACCCUGUCUUGAAUCACAGGACCAAGGAGGCUGCCCCGACAAGGGUCGCUUCCAGACUCACUCCCUGUCAGCCACUGCCACAUGCCUGCCGUGGGCAGCAUUGGAGGACAGGGGGUACUCUGUCAGUCAGCCUAACAGGCUGGUCCGUCCUUCCUUCCUUCUUCC